UUUUAGUAGAGUGGCUCUCUCAAAGCAGGAAGUGAAUUCACCAAAUCCUCAUGUUGUGUUUACGUGUGCUGAAGUCUUGAAAAUGCAAGCCUGGAUGUUCUUCAUCACCCCGCACCCCAGCCCUCCUGCUUCAGUCAUUCUGCUAAUGAGAACAGGCUACAAUAGAGCCCCGUGAAGCAUGCGAGCCUGAAAAAGACCAAAGCACCGGAGGCCUUAGCAUAACACUCGCGCUGUCACCAUCCAACAAUGACUGGCACCAUCCACCGCAGUCAUACCGCCGUUUACCUUCUUCUUCCUGUGACCCUAAACGGCGAUGGUUUUUGCAC
ensembl:lncRNA